rnacentral:rRNA from 1 species
GGGGAGUACGCACGCAAGUGUGAAACUCAAAGGAAUUGACGGGGGCCCGCACAAUCGGUGGAGUAUGUGGUUUAAUUCGAUGCAACGCGAAGAACCUUACCAGGGUUUGACAUCCUGCGAACCUCUUAGAAAUUUGAGGGUGCCUUCGGGAAUGCAGUGACAGGUGGUGCAUGGCUGUCGUCAGCUCGUGUCGUGAGAUGUUGGGUUAAGUCCCGCAACGAGCGCAACCCACGUUUUUAGUUGCCAGCAUUUAGUUGGGCACUCUAGAAAGACCGCCGGUGAUAAACCGGAGGAAGGUGUGGAUGACGUCAAGUCAUCAUGCCCCUUACACCCUUGGCUACACACGUACUACAAUGCUACGGGCAAAGGGCAGCAAACUCGCGAGAGCUAGCAAAUCCCAUAAACCGUGGCUCAGUUCAGAUCGUAGGCUGCAACUCGCCUACGUGAAGUAGGAAUCGCUAGUAAUCGCAGGUCAGCAUACUGCGGUGAAUACGUUCCCGGGCCUUGUACACACCGCCCGUCACACCAUGGAAGUUGGCCAUGCCCGAAGUCGUUACUCCAACCCUUGUGGAGGAGGACGCCGAAGGUGGGGCUAAUGACUGGGGUGAAGUCGUAACAAGGUAGCA